rnacentral:rRNA from 1 species
GAUGAACGCUGGCGGCGUGCCUAAUACAUGCAAGUCGAGCGAACGGACGAGAAGCUUGCUUCUCUGAUGUUAGCGGCGGACGGGUGAGUAGCACGUGGAUAACCUACCUAUAAGACUGGGAUAACUUCGGGAAACCGGAGCUAAUACCGGAUAAUAUUUUGAACCGCAUGGUUCAAAAGUGAAAGACGGUCUUGCUGUCACUUAUAGAUGGAUCCGCGCUGCAUUAGCUAGUUGGUAAGGUAACGGCUUACCAAGGCAACGAUGCAUAGCCGACCUGAGAGGGUGAUCGGCCACACUGGAACUGAGACACGGUCCAGACUCCUACGGGAGGCAGCAGUAGGGAAUCUUCCGCAAUGGGCGAAAGCCUGACGGAACAACGCCGCGUGAGCGAUGAAGGUCUUCGGAUCGUAAAACUCUGUUAUUAGGGAAGAACAUAUGUGUAAGUAACUGUGCACAUCUUGACGGUACCUAAUCAGAAAGCCACGGCUAACUACGUGCCAGCAGCCGCGGUAAUACGUAGGUGGCAAGCGUUAUCCGGAAUUAUUGGGCGUAAAGCGCGCGUAGGCGGUUUUUUAAGUCUGAUGUGAAAGCCCACGGCUCAACCGUGGAGGGUCAUUGGAAACUGGAAAACUUGAGUGCAGAAGAGGAAAGUGGAAUUCCAUGUGUAGCGGUGAAAUGCGCAGAGAUAUGGAGGAACACCAGUGGCGAAGGCGACUUUCUGGUCUGUAACUGACGCUGAUGUGCGAAAGCGUGGGGAUCAAACAGGAUUAGAUACCCUGGUAGUCCACGCCGUAAACGAUGAGUGCUAAGUGUUAGGGGGUUUCCGCCCCUUAGUGCUGCAGCUAACGCAUUAAGCACUCCGCCUGGGGAGUACGACCGCAAGGUUGAAACUCAAAGGAAUUGACGGGGACCCGCACAAGCGGUGGAGCAUGUGGUUUAAUUCGAAGCAACGCGAAGAACCUUACCAAAUCUUGACAUCCUUUGACAACUCUAGAGAUAGAGCUUUCCCCUUCGGGGGACAAAGUGACAGGUGGUGCAUGGUUGUCGUCAGCUCGUGUCGUGAGAUGUUGGGUUAAGUCCCGCAACGAGCGCAACCCUUAAGCUUAGUUGCCAUCAUUAAGUUGGGCACUCUAAGUUGACUGCCGGUGACAAACCGGAGGAAGGUGGGGAUGACGUCAAAUCAUCAUGCCCCUUAUGAUUUGGGCUACACACGUGCUACAAUGGACAAUACAAAGGGCAGCGAAACCGCGAGGUCAAGCAAAUCCCAUAAAGUUGUUCUCAGUUCGGAUUGUAGUCUGCAACUCGACUACAUGAAGCUGGAAUCGCUAGUAAUCGUAGAUCAGCAUGCUACGGUGAAUACGUUCCCGGGUCU